AUAUCUUUCUCAGCCUUUUGGCUAUUUGGGGUGUGUUUAGUUCACGAAAAGAAAUUAUUAAACGUGGGAACUAAACAAGAUUAACUGUUCGGCCAUAUGCUCACUUCGAUAUUAAAUUUAUUAUUUGUGGGGGAGGGCUCAUCACAGUGGCAAGCCCUUGCCACUGGGGCCCUCGCGCGUCGCCCAGGCGUUGCACUGCUGCCCGGGCCUGGCGCACCCAAC
rnacentral:snRNA from 2 species